GCCUCCCGCCGCUUCGUCUUUACCGAUUACCGAUCCAAAAAAAAAAAAAAAAACAAGCCCUCGCCUCCCACUGCUUCCCCGCAGCCCUCGCCGACGAUCCCCCGAGGCCCCGACACGCCGCCGUCGCGGUCGGGGCAAGGCACCCCGCGCUGCUCACGCCGGCCGCCGCCGCAGCCUCGCUUGCUCGAGCUGACGGAGGGGGCAAGGGUGGAGCACGGGGACGAGGCCGACCUAGGUGGCGCGCCUGCGCGUGCGCCGGGCGGCAGGAGCGUCGUCGGUAGGCGAGAGGAACUUGAGCUUGGCCCUGGGUCCGCGGAUGUCGCGACCUGACGAGGUUCGAGUUCGUGCUCUCCGUGGAUCACGGCUUCCGAACAGGAUGCCAGUGUACUCCGCCUCCCAAGCCGCCCCUGAAUCUCCACCGCGGCCAUGAAGCCACAAGAUCUGCAGAUCCACGGGAUGGCGGCGCCAAGUAAGAGCACCUCCUUGCUUCCCUCUAUACGAGAUGAGAAGUGCACUGCACCAUCCCGCCGACUGAAGUUCUGCAAUUGCCAGAGCCUCCACUGCCUGUAAGGUGUUCGACAAAAUGCCAAGCUUCCAGACGCAUAGCAACUUUAAUUUAUGAAGGUACCUCUUCUCUGUUCUGCAAAUGACAUCAAGUUCAGUAAGAGAUGGAGUUGUCUUGUAACGAGAGCAAUUUCUCAAAAUAAAUUAAUUUUGGGAUUUCCAUGGGUAACCACCUGACCAAGAUAUCACCAUGAUUUGCUUCCACCGUGGCCAUUCAUCUUAUGGUAGCAUAAUUCAUCUAAUCACACCAGCCACUCAUCGGUUGCAACACAUAAGCUGUGUGAACAAUCACGCUGGUAAGUGGUAAUUUCUUCCAUGCUUCUAUCCUGGGGGUAAUGGUGUUACUAUUAAUUGCGUUGCUCAGUUUUUUUUUUUCAUAUGUUAUAUUGCAAUGAAGCUUUGUUCAUCUUGACAGAACAUUGACUUGAAACCAUCGAUGUUUAAAUUUUCAAGAUAGAAGGACAGAGGGCAUAGUUUGAAUAAUUUUAAUGUGCUUCAUGGAAGCAAUCAUGACUACACCGACGCAAAAACGACCUGCGCUGAGUGACAUCACAAACACCCAGAAUACAGGCUAAAGGUCAUUGAGGAAGAUAAUUCUGGUGCCCAUCGGAGGGGUGGGCGGCGCUGAGGCGUCCAUGUUGGAUUCGAGCGGAGCAGGCUCACCACGAAAUUGCCCAUUCAUCGUCGAAGGCCGCGAAGGCAGCCGGCCGGGGAUCGGCGAGGGCGGCUGCGACGCAGGCCUAGAGGUGAAGGUGAAGUCACCAAAAUCGAAGUUGUCGUCGAGGAAGGGCAAGGGGGCGGCGGGAACGGCAUCCAUUGCGUGGCGGAGCACGCGUGUUGGUCGGCGGCUGGAAAUGGAGGGAAUAAUGCGACGCACUGUUUUUAAUUGAUGAGAAAGUGAUGGUAGAUCGAGUACCUGACAUUGCUUACAGCUUAUCUGACCAAUUGAUGUAUAAUGCAAGUUUUCAAUUGCCUAUUUGCAUCCCUGCUUUGCUGGACACUGCCAGUUAAAUAGAAACUAAAAGUUUGACAGUAAAAUAUUUAGAGCCAUAUCUUUUUCUAUGAUUUUUCUGUUCUUGACUUUAUCCAGUAUGUGUUGCCAGCACUGUUUACUGAAACCAAUUAGAGUUUCAUCAUUCAGUCCUAUGCAGUUCUGAUAUACCAUUUACACUCAUAUGUAUUUCCUUGCCAUGUUACGUUAUGGAGAGGAGAUUGUUUGGCCUUGAUCAAAGCUUUGAUAGCAAGACGGAGACUGAAAUUCAUAGUGUUGAGAAGUUACCAGAUAUUCGUGCAAAUGAAGGGGUUAGCCCCUCCAGAAAAAUAAACUACAAAAUGAGUCUUAUGAUGGAGUAAACACAAAGUUGCAUGUGUCCAAAGAUAGUGAUGAUGCCCCAAGUGAAGUGAGAAGAAUGUGCAUUCCAAAGGGCUUAAUGGUAUUACUUCAUCCAAGGUUGCUGAGCAAAUAAUGGACAAUUCCUUGAGGAUUGCUGAUGCAAGUUCACGUGGACCAAGCAAUCUUGGCAAAGACUUGGCUACGGCUCAACCAACAGCUCAUUGUCCUCCUUUUGACCAGGGAGGCCCCACCUUCCCUAGAGUCUUGUCGCCGUGGGGCAAAGUGGGUCCUUCCCAGGUGAGGCGGAGCUCUCCCGCGAGGGUCGGGCGAGGCGGAACCCUCCCACGGGGGUUGGGGGUCA